AACCAUAGAAACCUGCGGAGUACCUGCGGAAGGAUCAUUACAUGGCGGAGAAGGUGGGCACCUGGCCAAAAAAAACUCCAGGUUGUCAUGCCUUCACGCUCUUCCACCCUUGUCUAUUUGUACCUUUUGUCGUUCCCUCGGUGGGUUUCGACCCGCCGGCGGUAACCAUUGAAAACCCUUUUUGCAGUUUAGCAUCCAAUUCUUCUGAUCAAAUAUCAAAUCGUUACAACUUUCAACAAU
rnacentral:misc_RNA from 1 species